GAUGGACGCUGGCGGCGUGCCUAAUACAUGCAAGUCGAGCGAACGGACGAGAAGCUUGCUUCUCUGAUGUUAGCGGCGGACGGGUGAGUAACGCGUGGAUAACCUACCUAUAAGACUGGGAUAACUUCGGGAAACCGGAGCUAAUACCGGAUAAUAUUUUGAACCGCAUGGUUCAAAAGUGAAAGACGGUCUUGCUGUCACUUAUAGAUGGAUCCGCGCUGCAUUAGCUAGUUGGUAAGGUAACGGCUUACCAAGGCAACGAUGCAUAGCCGACCUGAGAGGGUGAUCGGCCACACUGGAACUGAGACACGGUCCAGACUCCUACGGGAGGCAGCAGUAGGGAAUCUUCCGCAAUGGGCGAAAGCCUGACGGAGCAACGCCGCGUGAGUGAUGAAGGUCUUCGGAUCGUAAAACUCUGUUAUUAGGGAAGAACAUAUGUGUAAGUAACUGUGCACAUCUUGACGGUACCUAAUCAGAAAGCCACGGCUAACUACGUG
rnacentral:rRNA from 1 species